UACGGGGGGAGCAAGCGUUGUUCGGAUUUACUGGGCGUAAAGGGCGCGUAGGCGGUCAGCACAAGUCAGUUGUGAAAUCUCCGGGCUUAACUCGGAAAGGUCAACUGAUACUGUGCGACUAGAGUGCAGAAGGGGCAACUGGAAUUCUCGGUGUAGCGGUGAAAUGCGUAGAUAUCGAGAGGAACACCUGCGGCGAAGGCGGUUGCUGGGCUGACACGUGACGCUGAGGCGCGAAAGCCAGGGGAGCGAACGGG
rnacentral:rRNA from 1 species